CUUUUUUGGGCAUCACUGAAGAAUGUUCUGACUUUACCUUUUGGGUUCAGAGGGGAGACUGCUGUUGCUAAGCCCUGCUGAGCAUCAUUUCUGGUGUGGCAGAGUUGACAAGCCACCUGCUUCUUGACUACUCCUGACUCAUCUCUGCAGAGCAGACACACCUCACUUCUUGGACAUCACUGAAGAAUGUUCUGAUUCCUAACCUGAAAAUCUGAAAUCUAUAGUGUUCCAAAAUCUGAAACCUUUUGAGCAACAACAUGACACCACGUGUAAGAAAUUCCACUUGUGAGUACUUAACACAAACUUUGUUUCAUGAGCAAAAUUACUUACAAUAGUUUGUAGAAUUAACUUCAGGCUGUAUAUAUAAGGUAUAUAUAAAGCAUAACAGAAUUUUACAUUUAGUUUGGGGUUCCAUUCCCAAGAUAGCUCAUGUAUAUGUAAAUAUUCCCAAAUCUGAAAAAAUCAGAAAUCCAAAACACUUCUUGGCCCAAGCGUUUUGGAUAAGGAUACUCAACCUGUCAGUUGAAAAUAAAAUAUUUUUCUUUGAUAGUUUUACAUGCCACUAAUUUUUCUGACUCCAAACAAGCCCAUGUAACUAUUGCUUCACAGAUGUGUGAUUUGAAGCUUAGCAGAAAACCUGUCUCCCACUUUUUCCAUAUUGUUUUCUAGGUAUAAUGCAGAUAACUUGUAAAAUAACAUUCUAGGGUGUAAUAUAUAAAUCCUGCCUAAGCAAAAGCAAAAGGCGCAGGAAAUAACAAUAGGUAUAACUUCUAACUGGCUAACUCAUGCUUCUCUCCAAGGGAAAAGCCAAAAAUGUGCCCCUGAGGUGGCUGGUUAGUGAAUUAUGGGUAAGACUCUGUGGAAGACAAGAGCAACCUAAGACAGGCACAGCUGUAGGGCAGCGACCAAUAGCUAAAUUUA